UGCUUUGAAUGAAAAGCAAUUUCCUGCAGAAUGGAAAACAUUGGCUGUUUAAGUGCUGUGCUAGUUGCCAAUGCAUCUUUUGUCACAUAUUCUUCACACUAUUAAAUUAUCAACAGGUGUUAACUUAUGCAAGCUGUUACCUGGUGUCAGGCCUUCAGUUCUGAUUCAUGCCAAUCCAGCUGUGGGGAGACCAAUUCAAAAAUCUUCAUUAGUGAUUGGCUCCAAGUCAGGCUGCCUCCUUUCCUCCUGUGGUAAUGUUUCACCUUUGCUGAAUCCCUUUUGAGGCAGUCAGCAACGUUCUGCUACCAGUCCGUCACAUCUAUAACAUCUUAUUUGCUUGGAGACUGUGUAUAACAUUUAAUGUUAUUAGUUUCCCACUUAGUGACAUUGCUUUCAAGAGAGUAAGUCUAUCAAGUAAAUGCUGGGACCCUGUGCUAAAUGAAGUGAAAUUAUUUUUA